rnacentral:rRNA from 1 species
UGAGGAAUAUUGGUCAAUGGGCGGCAGCCUGAACCAGCCAUCCCGCGUGCAGGAAGACGGCCCUAUGGGUUGUAAACUGCUUUUCCAGGGGGAGAAUUUUUCUGUCGUGACAGGAAUUGACGGUACCCUGGGAAUAAGCAUCGGCUAACUCCGUGCCAGCAGCCGCGGUAAUACGGAGGAUGCGAGCGUUAUCCGGAUUUAUUGGGUUUAAAGGGUGCGUAGGCGGUUCGAUAAGUCAGUGGUGAAAACCUGCAGCUUAACUGUAGACUUGCCGUUGAUACUGUCAGUCUUGAGUAUGUUCAAGGUAGGCGGAAUGUGUAAUGUAGCGGUGAAAUGCUUAGAUAGUACACAGAACACCGAUUGCGAAGGCAGCUUGCUGGGCCAUUACUGACGCUGAUGCACGAAAGCGUGGGGAUCGAACA